GAGGGUGAUCGGCCACAUUGGAACUGAGACACGGUCCAAACUCCUACGGGAGGCAGCAGUGGGGAAUAUUGCACAAUGGGCGAAAGCCUGAUGCAGCAACGCCGCGUGAGUGAUGAAGGCCUUCGGGUCGUAAAACUCUGUCCUCAAGGAAGAUAAUGACGGUACUUGAGGAGGAAGCCCCGGCUAACUACGGGCCAGCAGCCGCGGUAAUACGUAGGGGGCUAGCGUUAUCCGGAUUUACUGGGCGUAAAGGGUGCGUAGGCGGUCUUUCAAGUCAGGAGUGAAAGGCUACGGCUCAACCGUAGUAAGCUCUUGAAACUGGGAGACUUGAGUGCAGGAGAGGAGAGUGGAAUUCCUAGUGUAGCGGUGAAAUGCGUAGAUAUUAGGAGGAACACCAGUU
rnacentral:rRNA from 1 species